CCUAGCCCUCUCCACCACCAUCCCUAUCUCUAUAACCCAAACCUUAGCUGCAACCUAACUUGAACCCUAGCCAUCUCCAUUUCUUUGUCGAUUCGUAUUCCCUUGAUCAAUCCAAACCCUAACCCUCCCCACCUCUCUACAACCCAAACCCUAGCCCUAACCUGAACCCUAGCCCUCUACAAAUCCCAAAUAGAAACCUCAGUCCUCUCCACUACCAUCCCCACCUCUGUAACCCCAACCCUAACCCUAAUCUGAAUCCUAGCCCUAACCCUAACCCAAUCGCUCAUCCUAACCCCAAUCCGGAACCCAACCCUAACCUCAACCCUUUGUAACCCAAAUCCUAAACCUAACCCUAACCCUAAUCCAACCACUCAUCCUAACCCUAACUCAGAACCUAACCCUAACCCCAAUCUUGAUUUGACCAACCUAACAUUACCAUCCAAUAACCUACAAUCCAUAAUCUAACAACUCAAUACCUGAUAAACCAACAACCC
rnacentral:lncRNA from 1 species